GCACAAGCGGUGGAGCAUGUGGUUUAAUUCGACGCAACGCGAAGAACCUUACCUGGGCUCGAAAUGGAGUGGACCGGAGUAGAAAUAUUCCUUCCCCGCAAGGGGCCGCUCUAUAGGUGCUGCAUGGCUGUCGUCAGCUCGUGUCGUGAGAUGUUGGGUUAAGUCCCGCAACGAGCGCAACCCUUAUUACCAGCUGCCAUCAUUAAGUUGGGCACUCAGGUGAGACCGCCUCGGAUAACGGGGAGGAAGGCGGGGAUGACGUCAAGUCCUCAUGGCCUUUAUGUCCAGGGCUACACACGUGCUACAAUGGCCGGUACAAACCGUCGCAAACCCGUGAGGGGGAGCUAAUCGGAAAAAGCCGGCCUCAGUUCGGAUUGGAGUCUGCAACUCGACUGCAUGAAGCUGGAAUCGCUAGUAAUCGCGGAUCAGAAUGCCGCGGUGAAUACGUUCCCGGGC
rnacentral:rRNA from 1 species